GACGAAGGGGGCUAGCGUUGUUCGGAAUUACUGGGCGUAAAGCGAGUGUAGGUGGUUGUCCAAGUUGGAUGUGAAAGCCUUGAGCUCAACUCAAGAAAUGCAUUCAGGACUGGGCGGCUAGAGGACCGGAGAGGAUAGUGGAAUUCCCAGUGUAGUGGUGAAAUACGUAGAGAUUGGGAAGAACACCAGUGGCGAAGGCGGCUAUCUGGACGGUUUCUGACACUAAGACUCAAAAGCGUGGGGAGCAAACAGG
rnacentral:rRNA from 1 species